rnacentral:ncRNA from 2 species
ACUGAUGUAUUCAACGAGUCUAUAGCCUUGGCCGACAGGCUUGGGUAAUCUUUGAAAUUUCAUCGUGAUGGGGAUAGAUCAUUGCAAUUGUUGGUCUUCAAU